GUUGGCUACGUUCGGAAGGGAUAACCGCUGAAAGCAUCUAAGCGGGAAGCCUGCUUCGAGAUGAGGUCUCCCACAGGGUAGCCUGGUAAGGCCCCCGACUAGAUGAUCGGGUUGAUAGGCCGGAGGUGGAAGUGCGGUGACGCAUGGAGCUGACCGGUACUAAUAGGCCGAGGGCUUGUCUUCG
rnacentral:rRNA from 1 species